AAAAAAUUAGUUAAUCUUAUAAUACAAGCUUGUCAAGCUUGAGUGAUCUUUCAGAUAUUUUUUA
rnacentral:tRNA from 1 species